UGUUAUACUUGACCAUGGCCCAGAUUUGU
rnacentral:piRNA from 1 species